UGCCAUACAACUGUGCAUAUUAAAUUACUCUCCAUGGGUAACUUUUUUUUGACAACACAAACCAUUCACAUAUAAUAUUCGAACAAACGAACUGUAAUAGAACAAAUACAAAAUUGUAGUACUCUGUAAGUGUACUUUUUAAUGUGUCUCAAAAUAUGCAAACUUUUUGCAGAUGUUGAAGCAGCUUGGUCUUGGAAAGGAAGUCAUGUGUUGCUGUCAAAAAUUGGCCCAUAUAAAUUAUUUUAUUGGGACAUAGGGCGCUUUGCCCCUGAUAGGGAGCUUGAGAGUGAGGUAUGCUGCAUUCUGAAUCUGUCUGAAACAAACAGAAUUAAUGGUUUCAUAUGUACUUUAUGCAUUCAAGUAAGUAAAAUGUAUUGUAUUAACUUGCUUUCUUUUAUUGAUUUUGCCUGGCAGCUAGUGUGUUGAGACAUAAAAGGCUAUGAAUAAAAUAAGUUUAAAAACGAACUGCCUGCUGUCUAGUCAGCAUUAUAAAUAUUUUAUUUGGUAUUUAGGUUUGAAUAUUUUUGGUUUCCUCUGCGUUCAGAGAUUAAUGCAGGCAUGUAAGACAUAUUUUAAAAGGAUAAAAAUACACCAUCAUGUAUAUGUACAUGUUUAUCCUUUUCAAGGUAAUAAAUGCAUAUAUAACAGCACUGGUGAGGAGAUUUAAUCUUGAAGGGGACAAAAAAGCCUUCCUCAUUGAAUCAUUCACCAUGAGCAAAAUAUGGCAGGGCUCAUAAUCAAACACUGAGAAAGGUACGUCAAGCCUCAGUUCAAAAUACAGCACCUUCAGAAUGAUAAACAUCAAUCAACGGAUAUGUUAUUUUACAAAAAGAGUUUAUAUUGGAUACCUUAUGUGCUGUUAUUAAUUUGUUAUAUCUCCAUCCUUUUCAGCUUGAUCCCAGCAAGUACAGUUUGAUUUUGGGCAAAUGAACAUCACCACUGGACACUUGCUGUUAUAUAUCCAUCCCAAAAGAAGACUAUUUUCUUGGAUCCACUGGGAGAGUCCAAAGAAAAAGUGCCUUGAGACAGCAAGGGCCUUCAUGAGAACAAAAAGGUGCCAAGUUUCAAGAUGGAGGUGUGAAACUGUCUCCCACCCAAUACAGUCAGACGGCACAUCGUGGGGUGUUUUUGUUUGUAAGGUCUGCAUACAGUACAGCUACUAUAUCAGUUUUUCAGUGAUUAUUUAAAUACAGCCACACAGGGUGGCAUUAAAGGGUUUCUUGAAGUAAUAUAAAACAAACUAUCCACAUAGCUUGUACCAGUUUAUGAUUAAAUAAAUAAACUCUAUUUUCUCAGUUUGCAGAGGAUGUUCUUGAAGGCAGACAGAGCAACUUUUCCCCCCGAAGGGAGUCCAUUGCCAUUAUCCAAAAGGAAAUGGCAAUCAACCUUCUUAAGGAAUCAGAUGAUCUGAGCAGUCUGUGCCUGUUUUGUGGAGAGCAGGACACUCUGGGGGAUGCAGUGUCACAAGAUGAAUGGAUUGCAUGCAAUGGCUGCAGCAGGUGGUUCCUCCACACAUGUGUUGCACAGCUAUCAACUAAGGUCAGCUUUUUUUGUUCAGCAUGCACAAUGUGAGGACACACAAAUGGCUAAUUUCCACUGCAGGCGCAACUGGGCCAGCCGCGCUAGAGCAGUGCCCCCGCCAGUAAAAUUGCUGUUAAAAUUCUAUUACUUCAAUGAUUCUUCUUUCAACUCCUACUAAAUAGUGGGACAAAAUAGAUGCUUAGGUUUCUAGAUUUUUAUGGAAAGGGGGGGAAAUAAAAAAGGGGGGGAAAGUUUUUGUUGCAAUCCUUUUUGUUAUGUUGUACUGUUUGCUCCUCCAAUAAAAACAUUUGAUCACAAAAAAGUUGUUGAGUAUGCAGGUGAGAGAGAGAGACACUAACAGUAUAAGUUUGGUAUUUUUUGCCAAGCUCCUGCUUGAUUUACAGAGGGGACAGCAAAUAUUCCAGAGCGACUGUAAAAAACUGUGCCCCUGGAGGAAAUGGUGCCCCCUUGUUUACUGAGUGCAAAUGCACACAAAAGUUGUUGAGUAUGCAUUCAGAUGGCAAGUAAAAAAUAAUUAUAAUCUCCUUUCAAGUUCAUCAUUUCUGUUAUUGGUUUAUCUGUGUGUGUGUGUGUGUGUGUGUGUGUGUGUGUGUGUGUGUGACAGUUGUGAAAAGCUGUCAUGAAUUAAAUUGCUUACAAAUAAAUAAGUAAAUAAACAUUUAGAAGAUUGUACUGCAUUUAACUGAAUUAUAAA